rnacentral:rRNA from 1 species
CCUACGGGAGGCAGCAGUAAGGAAUAUUGGUCAAUGGAGGCAACUCUGAACCAGCCAUGCCGCGUGCAGGAAGACAGCCCUUUGGGUCGUAAACUGCUUUUAUUCGGGAAUAAACCUACUUACGUGUAAGUAGCUGAAG